UACGUAGGGUGCGAGCGUUGUCCGGAAUUAUUGGGCGUAAAGAGCUUGUAGGCGGUCUGUCGCGUCUGCUGUGAAAAUCCGGGGCUCAACCCCGGACUUGCAGUGGGUACGGGCAGACUAGAGUGUGGUAGGGGAGACUGGAAUUCCUGGUGUAGCGGUGAAAUGCGCAGAUAUCAGGAGGAACACCAAUUGCGAAGGCAGCUCGCUAGGACGUAACUGACGCUGAGACGCGAAAGCGUGGGGAGCAAACAGG
rnacentral:rRNA from 1 species